UUGCUUCAGGAGCACAUACACCAAAACUGGAACAUAUAAAGCAGAUUCACAUCACCCCUGUGCAAGGAUGGCAUGCAAAUUCAUGAAGCAAAAUUUAUUAUA
ensembl:snRNA U6 U6 spliceosomal RNA